ACACGACUACAUUAGAUACCCCGGUAGUCCUAGCCGUAAACGAUACUCGCUAGGUGUCGGCCACGGUGCGACCGUUGUCGGUGCCGUAGGGAAGCCGUGAAGCGAGCCACCUGGGAAGUACGGCCGCAAGGCUGAAACUUAAAGGAGUUGGCGGGGGAGCACCACAACGGGUGGAGCUUGCGGUUUAAUUGGAUUCAACGCCGGAAAUCUUACCGGGACCGACAGCAACAUGAAGGCCAGGCUGAAGACUUUGCCGGAUUAGCUG
rnacentral:rRNA from 1 species